AUAUUGUCCACCAUAGUCUACCUAGUGCCUAGUACAAUGCCCACCACUGUGAAGGGACUCCAUAAUUAUUUGCUGAGGGAAUGAACACAGGCAUGGACAAAUAAUGAAGUCUGGAUUUCAAUACCCUGCAGGUGCCCUCUGGGCACCACACCUGGCCUUUUCUUCCCAGAUUCAGUCAUGGUGUUUGUGGUUAUGUGAGCCCUGUCCACUCAGCCAGAAAAUCUGGCCCUAUCUUCCACCAGCAGCAAAAAGUACGGGAAAUCUCUGUAUUUAGGAGCAAGGAACUCCAACUUCUCAACCAGACGCCUGAGUUACAGUUAAUGUAACCAAUGUUAACCCUAGAAGGCACCUUGACAACCAUCUCUCCAUCUCUCCUGCCCUCAUUUACUGAUGAGCAGAAAAACCAUGGCGAUAACAAAGGACAUUAUUGGAUAACACUCUGGGGUCCAGACCCCAGGAAGUUUAUACUGCAAAUGAGCUGCUCAGUACCUCCCCCAUGGCCAGUGCUGUCUCCUUCCCAUCCUUGCAGUCAGCGUUCAGGACCCCCAGAGAAGGCUAUUCUUAUUUUCCAAGCCAUUGUUCAUGGACUGGCCUGUCAUAAGACAUGACGCUUCAUUGCAAACAUCUCCACUCCUCACCUCCUCAUGUGCUCAGCAACCUUCUCAGUGGAGUAACUGUAAACUCCAUUCUCAUAAAAACCCCAAGGAUGUAAACCCCGCAGCAUUGAGUUUAUUAAAGUAAAACCCGAAACAAAA